rnacentral:rRNA from 1 species
UACGUAGGGUGCGAGCGUUAUUCGGAAUUACUGGGCGUAAAGGGUGCGUAGGCGGUUCGUUAAGUCUGGCGUGAAAUCCCCGGGCUCAACCUGGGAAUGGCGAUGGAUACCGGCGAGCUAGAGUGUGUCAGAGGAUGGUGGAAUUCCCGGUGUAGCAGUGAAAUGCGUAGAGAUCGGGAGGAACACCAGUGGCGAAGGCGGCCUUCUGGACCAAUACUGACGCUCAUGCACGAAAGCGUGGGGAGCAAACAGG